rnacentral:rRNA from 1 species
UACAGAGGUCUCAAGCGUUGUUCGGAUUCAUUGGGCGUAAAGGGUGCGUAGGUGGCGCCGUAAGUCGGGUGUGAAAUUUCGGAGCUUAACUCCGAAACUGCAUUCGAUACUGCGGUGCUUGAGGACUGGAGAGGAGACUGGAAUUUCAUGGUGUAGCGUGAAAUGCGUAGAGAUCAUGAGGAAGACCAGUGGCGAAGGCGGGUCUCUGGACAGUUCCUGACGCUGAGGCACGAAGGCCAGGGGAGCAAACGGG